rnacentral:RNase_P_RNA from 1 species
GCAGUAGGCUGUUUCAUCGCUUCAAGUUUUCGAAGAGGAAAGUCCGGGCAACACAGAGUACCAAACUCUCGAAAGGAGAGAUAUUCGUGAGGGUAUAGUAACAGAGAAGAAAAUAACCGCUUUAAUUCGUUAAAGUAAGGGUGAGAAGGUGAGGUAAGAGCUCACCAGGAUCAAUAGCAAUAUUGAUUACUGUCUGUCUUUUGGGUUGCAAAACCACGUAUACCAACAAUUAAGAGCUACUCGCUCAAUGUUGGGGGGUAGGUUGCGAAGAUAAAUGAUGAAAACUGUAAUUCGUUACAGAACAGGACCCGGCUUAUAGGCCUACUGCUUUU